UACGGAGGGUGCGAGCGUUGUCCGGAAUCACUGGGCGUAAAGGGCGCGUAGGUGGCGCGGGCAGUCAACGGUGAAAGUUCGGGGCUCAACCCUGAAUCGGCCGUCGAUACUCCCGGGCUUGAGCACUGUAGAGGCUAAUGGAAUUCCGGGUGUAGCGGUGGAAUGCGUAGAGAUCCGGAAGAACACCGGUGGCGAAGGCGGCUAGCUGGGCAGUUGCUGACACUGAGGCGCGACAGCGUGGGGAGCAAACAGG
rnacentral:rRNA from 1 species